rnacentral:rRNA from 1 species
UACGUAGGGUGCAAGCGUUAAUCGGAAUUACUGGGCGUAAAGCGUGCGCAGGCGGCUUUGCAAGUCAGAUGUGAAAUCCCCGGGCUUAACCUGGGAACUGCAUUUGUGACUGCAAGGCUGGAGUGCGGCAGAGGGGGAUGGAAUUCCGCGUGUAGCAGUGAAAUGCGUAGAUAUGCGGAGGAACACCGAUGGCGAAGGCAAUCCCCUGGGCCUGCACUGACGCUCAUGCACGAAAGCGUGGGGAGCAAACAGG